CGGAAACAUAACGGCAGAUACGUUCCAUAACCUGCAAUAAAACCAACAAUGUACACCAAGCUACAAACGACUUUCAAUUUUCGUCGACUAACUUCAGGUUUUAAAGGAUGAACAGUAGCACGAUAGCGAAGCAGCGAAAUGAUCAACAUCAUACCUAUUCCUGCGACUCGAAAAAUGAGAUAUAUGUAAAAGAAAGCACAAUACUUGGUGGAAAUAAUAACCAGGCGAUCUUCGACAAAAUUCCAGUCAUUGAUAUGAUCGAAAAGCAAACUUAUCAGUGGCCCCAGAUCACAUAUCGCAAGAUGUAGAACAAGAAAGUAGUAGUUAUUCUUCAACAAUUUCUUUUGUCUGAUUAUGGAAAUGAUUACCAAAAUAUUACCGAGAAUCCCAACUACAAGUACUACAGCGGCAGAAUAUCUGAAGACAUCAUAUGCUGUCUUCCCCAUUCUUUCGUUCAAGUAAUUUGAGUUGUGACUUUCGUUGCUGAAAUAUAAUUCAGGAUCAAGCUGGCAGCUUGUCUGCGCACUAAUUCCUUUAAAAAACAGAACAAAUGGCAAAUAAGUUCGUUUCCGUAUAUUCGUUAUACACCAGAUGUAUUCCACCAAUAA